AAGUCGUAACAAGGUUUCCGUAGGUGAACCUGCGGAAGGAUCAUUAUUGAAUACUCUUGAUGGGUUGUAGCUGGCUCUUUGGAGCAUGUGCACGCCUGUCUUGACCUUAUUUCAUCCACCUGUGCACUUUUUGUAGUCUUGGGGUUGAGUGCAGUCAACUGUCGGACGGCCAUUAUGGUCUAUCCGGAUGUGAGGAAUGCUGAGUGCGAAAGCAUGCAGCUCUCUUCAAAAUGACUUGCAGAACCUCUCCCUCAAGUACUAUGUAUUUCAUAUACCUAGUAUGUUGUAGAAUGUGAUCAAUGGGCCUUGUGCCUAUAAUAAUCAUAUACAACUUUCAGCAACGGAUCUCUUGGCUCUC
rnacentral:misc_RNA from 1 species